rnacentral:rRNA from 1 species
AAUCAACGCUGGCGGCGUGCCUCAGACAUGCAAGUCGAACGAUUAAAGCUCUCUUUGGAGAGUGUAUAGAGUGGCGCACGGGUGAGUAACACGUAAGUAAUCUACCUUCGAGUGGGGAAGUAACCCGGGGAACCCGAGACUAAUACCGCAUAAUGCAGCGGCAUCUAAUGAUGACAGUUAGUUAAAGUAUUUAUCGUCUUGAAGAGGAGCUUGCGGCGAGAUUAGCUAGUUGGUAAGGUAAUAGGCUUACCAA